rnacentral:rRNA from 1 species
UACGUAGGGGGCUAGCGUUGUCCGGAAUCAUUGGGCGUAAAGCGCGUGUAGGCGGCCCGGUAAGUCCGCUGUGAAAGUCGGGGGCUCAACCCUCGGAUGCCGGUGGAUACUGUCGGGCUCGAGUACGGAAGAGGCGAGUGGAAUUCCUGGUGUAGCGGUGAAAUGCGCAGAUAUCAGGAGGAACACCAAUUGCGAAGGCAGCUCGCUGGGACGUUACUGACGCUGAGACGCGAAAGCUAGGGGAGCAAACGGG